rnacentral:rRNA from 1 species
AAUUUCUGGCUUGGCAAUUUUGGCCCGGUACGGUAACGUACUGUUUGUGCUGACUGUUGCCGGUCAUCCUUCUGGGUUUAACAGGUCUUGCCCUUCACGGGGUCUGAGGCCUGCGAACCAGAUCUUUUACUUUGAAAAAAUUAGAGUGUUUCAAGCAGGCUUUAUGCUAUGAAUACAUUAGCAUGGAAUAAUAAUUUAGGACUUCGGUUCUAUUUUGUUGGUUUCUAGGACUGAAGUAAUGAUUGAUAGGGAUAGUUGGGGGUGCUAGUAUUCAGCGGCCAGAGGUGAAAUUCUCGGAUUCGCUGAAGACUAACUUAUGCGAAAGCAUU